rnacentral:rRNA from 1 species
AGAGUUUGAUCCUGGCUCAGAACGAACGCUGGCGGCGUGCUUAAGACAUGCAAGUCGAACGGUAAGGCACCUUCGGGUGUACACGAGUGGCGCACGGGUGAGUAACGCGUGGGUAAUCUGCCUUCGGGUUCGGGACAACUCCGGGAAACUGGAGCUAAUACCGAAUAAGACCACGAGGUCCUUGGACUUCGUGGAAAAAGGUGGCCUCUUCUUGAAAGCUAUCGCCUGUUGAUGAGCCCGCGUCCCAUUAGUUUGUUGGUGAGGUAACGGCUCACCAAGGCAUCGAUGGGUAGCUGGUCUGAGAGGAUGAUCAGCCACACUGGAACUGAGACACGGUCCAGACUCCUACGGGAGGCAGCAGUCGGGAAUUUUGCACAAUGGGGGAAACCCUGAUGCAGCAACGCCGCGUGAGGGAUGAAGGCCCUCGGGUCGUAAACCUCUGUCGGGAGGGAAGAAAGGAUGUCGGGCCAAUACCCCGGGGUUCUGACGGUACCUCCAAAGGAAGGUCCGGCUAACUCCGUGCCAGCAGCCGCGGUAAUACGGAGGGACCAAGCGUUGUUCGGAAUCAUUGGGCGUAAAGCGCGUGUAGGCGGCUUGGCAAGUCGGGUGUGAAAGCCCGGGGCUCAACCCCGGAAUUGCAUUCGAAACUGCCAGGCUAGAGUCUCGGAGAGGAGGGCGGAAUUCCCGGUGUAGAGGUGAAAUUCGUAGAUAUCGGGAGGAACACCAGUGGCGAAGGCGGCCCUCUGGACGAUGACUGACGCUGAGACGCGAAAGCGUGGGGAGCAAACAGGAUUAGAUACCCUGGUAGUCCACGCCGUAAACGUUGGGUGCUAGGUGUCGCGGGUAUUGACCCCUGCGGUGCCGGCGUUAACGCAUUUAGCACCCCGCCUGGGGAGUACGGUCGCAAGACUAAAACUCAAAGGAAUUGGCGGGGGCCCGCACAAGCGGU